ACAGAGAGCACUUGACGUGCGGGUGAAGCCUUUGCUAAAGCGCUUGCUAAGCCGAGUCCGGAAGGGGGAAGGCUAGCACCACCAGGAAGGACCUGGGCGGACAAACUUUGAGUUUGCAACCACAGUUGGACAUCCACCAGGCCCUGACCAUGAAAGGCAUCCUGAAGUCUCUCUCUGCACUUGAGUUUCAGAGACGCCAUCUUAACUCUGGCAUGUGGGUGGAACGCCAGAAGGAGCAGAUGAGGCCGAUUCACCAGGCCAUGUCACGCCACACCGUGCAUCACUCAUCUGCUUUGAUCACACCACGGCGCCAGCGCAUGCCGUGGACACGUUACAGAGGCCAUCCUACUGGCAGCAACUCAGGAUGUCUUCAGCGGACGGUGAGGUUCCGGCUCGCUGGUGGAGCGACUCUCCCUGCGCGUUCUGCUCCUGUUCCUGCCCGGAGUGACGGUGCCCUGGGAGCGGAAGAGCUGUUCUAAUUGGUCUCUGAAUGAGAGAUCAUAAUCUUCAGUUCCCAAGAGGGUCCGUGGAUUCACCGCCCCGUGCCGCACACACUGACUACUGUUCCUCCAUUCAGCCUGGUUAGCCAUAAACACGUGGAUUUGGGAUACUGCUCAUCCCUGCCAUUUUUAGUAUCCAUUGACGGGUUUUAAAAGUCGUCGGUCUUUGUGAUCGAUUGUGGUUUUUUUCGGGACGUCUGGGGAAGUUUGUCAAAAUUUCAUUAUGA